CUCAGGAUGAACGCUAGCUACAGGCUUAACACAUGCAAGUCGAGGGGCAGCAUGGUCUUAGCUUGCUAAGGCCGAUGGCGACCGGCGCACGGGUGAGUAACACGUAUCCAACCUGCCGUCUACUCUUGGACAGCCUUCUGAAAGGAAGAUUAAUACAAGAUGGCAUCAUGAGUCCGCAUGUUCACAUGAUUAAAGGUAUUCCGGUAGACGAUGGGAUGCGUUCCAUUAGAUAGUAGGCGGGGUAACGGCCCACCUAGUCUUCGAUGGAUAGGGGUUCUGAGAGGAAGGUCCCCCACAUUGGAACUGAGACACGGUCCAAACUCCUACGGGAGGCAGCAGUGAGGAAUAUUGGUCAAUGGGCGAGAGCCUGAACCAGCCAAGUAGCGUGAAGGAUGACUGCCCUAUGGGUUGUAAACUUCUUUUAUAAAGGAAUAAAGUCGGGUAUGGAUACCCGUUUGCAUGUACUUUAUGAAUAAGGAUCGGCUAACUCCGUGCCAGCAGCCGCGGUAAUACGGAGGAUCCGAGCGUUAUCCGGAUUUAUUGGGUUUAAAGGGAGCGUAGAUGGAUGUUUAAGUCAGUUGUGAAAGUUUGCGGCUCAACCGUAAAAUUGCAGUUGAUACUGGAUAUCUUGAGUGCAGUUGAGGCAGGCGGAAUUCGUGGUGUAGCGGUGAAAUGCUUAGAUAUCACGAAGAACUCCGAUUGCGAAGGCAGCCUGCUAAGCUGCAACUGACAUUGAGGCUCGAAAGUGUGGGUAUCAAACAGGAUUAGAUACCCUGGUAGUCCACACGGUAAACGAUGAAUACUCGCUGUUUGCGAUAUACUGCAAGCGGCCAAGCGAAAGCGUUAAGUAUUCCACCUGGGGAGUACGCCGGCAACGGUGAAACUCAAAGGAAUUGACGGGGGCCCGCACAAGCGGAGGAACAUGUGGUUUAAUUCGAUGAUACGCGAGGAACCUUACCCGGGCUUAAAUUGCAGAUGAAUUACGGUGAAAGCCGUAAGCCGCAAGGCAUCUGUGAAGGUGCUGCAUGGUUGUCGUCAGCUCGUGCCGUGAGGUGUCGGCUUAAGUGCCAUAACGAGCGCAACCCUUGUUGUCAGUUACUAACAGGUUCCGCUGAGGACUCUGACAAGACUGCCAUCGUAAGAUGUGAGGAAGGUGGGGAUGACGUCAAAUCAGCACGGCCCUUACGUCCGGGGCUACACACGUGUUACAAUGGGGGGUACAGAGGGCCGCUACCACGCGAGUGGAUGCCAAUCCCCAAAACCUCUCUCAGUUCGGACUGGAGUCUGCAACCCGACUCCACGAAGCUGGAUUCGCUAGUAAUCGCGCAUCAGCCACGGCGCGGUGAAUACGUUCCCGGGCCUUGUACACACCGCCCGUCAAGCCAUGGGAGCCGGGGGUACCUGAAGUGCGUAACCGCGAGGAGCGCCCUAGGGUAAAA
rnacentral:rRNA from 1 species